CUGCGGAAGGAUCAUUACCACAUAUCAUCGGGGGAGAACUUCGGUUCUCCUGUCUGAACCCUUGUCUUUUGCGUACUAUUUGUUUCCUUGGUGGGCUUGCCUGCCGAUAGGACAACCAUUAAACCUUUUGUAAUUGCAAUCAGCGUCAGAAAAAACAUAAUAAUUACAACUUUCAACAACGGAUCUCUUGGUUCUGGCAUCGAUGAAGAACGCAGCGAAAUGCGAAAAGUAGUGUGAAUUGCAGAAUUCAGUGAAUCAUCGAAUCUUUGAACGCACAUUGCGCCCCUUGGUAUUCCAUGGGGCAUGCCUGUUCGAGCGUCAUUUGUACCUUCAAGCUCUGCUUGGUGUUGGGUGUUUGUCCCGCUUUUUUGCGUGGACUCGCCUCAAAGCAAUUGGCAGCCGGCGUACUAGCCUGGGAGCGCAGCACAUUUUGCGCAUCUCGACUUGAACGCUUGCAUCCAUCAAGUUACUUUUUAACUCUUGACCUCGGAUCAGGUAGGGAUACCCGCUGAACUUAAGCAUAUCAAUA
rnacentral:misc_RNA from 1 species